CCAAAUCUACAUGGGUGCAGGGGCCCAAGCACUUGUGCCGCCCUCCACUGCUUUCCCAGGGAGCUGGAGCUGGGAAGCGAUCUGACACCCAUGUUGGGUGUGUGUGUGUGUGUGUGUGUGUGGUAGGGGCAGGCUUAGCUCACUGUGCUUCAACGCCGGCCCUCAACUGGGUUUUAUUGAUGUUUAUUUAAAUCAAACAGUGUCUGCUCAAGCUGAAUUAGGCCAGUAACUUAGACAAUACUGUAUCCUGCCAGAUUUUGAGCAGCACGUUUAACUCACAGGCGCCCGCAGCCGAGGGGUCUCUGGAGGGUGGAGUCACACGCCCGGGCGCGCCUAACGCUGACUGGGGAGCUGGGGCCCGUGAUGGGCCGCGCACAGGGUCCGGGAGAGGCAGACACCGGGCUGCCUCCUGGAAACCCAGGCCAGGCCCUGCGCUCCCUGCCCGGCCUGGCGGACGCGUCGGGCGCAGGGAGGCGCGCGGGGAGGAAGCCGGCGCCCCCCGCACGUCGCCCCGCACGGCCGCCCGCCCACCUGCUGAGGGAGCGCCGCCGAGACUCCGUGCACGGACACCGGCGGUGCCUCCGAAGGGCCCGCUCGGCGCCAGGAGAGGGGCAGGGGAGCCACACACGGGCCUGGGGCCGAGCGACCCAGCGAGGGGCGGCCGCGGAGCCCGGGGCGGCUGGGCCGGGCUAGGCGGACGACGCCCCUCAGGGGCUGCCCGGGCGCCAAGCCGGGGGACCCGGGCUCUCGGGCGGCGCGGAAGGAGGCAGCCCGGGCGUCCAGCCGGGGCGCGGCGGGUCCGCGAGCCCGCGUGCACCUGCGCUCUCGGGCAGCGUUCACGCGAGGGAGGCUCUGGCGGGAGAGACCUGGGAGGCCGCUCCUCCCCGCUGCCGCCGGCUCGCUCAGGAGGUGGCAGUGCUCACGGAGCGCCAGCAGAGGGCGCUGUGACCCUAAACUGCCACCGCGCGGGAGAGGACGGAGAACCCGUCCACCGCGACCCCGGGCUUGUAGCUGGCUGUACAUCAGGGU
rnacentral:lncRNA from 1 species